CGGUUGUUGGGUUGCUGCCCCUGAAUUGGUAAUUUUGAGGAAAUUUUGCUGUUUUUGGUUAUUAUCUUGAAUAUUAUUAUAGAUAGAGAUAAAUUGUAAACAGCAAUAAUGUUCAGCAAAGUAAGAUCUACAAAUAAGUCAGCAUGACCAAAAUGGUCAGUUGACCCCUUUAGGAGUAAUUGCCCUUUAUAGUCAAUCUUUAACCAUUUUUCAUAAAUCUAAGUAAUCUUUUACAAAAUCUCCACUGAAACUACUAGGCCACAAUCGUCUUUGGGGUAUCUAGUUUGAAAAAUGUGUCCGAUGACCUGGCCAUUCAACCAAGAUGGCCGCUACGGCUAAAAAUAGAACAUAGGGGUAAAAUGCAGUUUCUGGCUUAUAACUAUGAAACCAAAGCAUCUAGAGCAAAUCUGACAAGAAGUUAAAUUGUUAAUCAAGUCAAUAUCUAUCUGCCCUGAAUUUUUCAGAUGAAUUGGACAACUGGUUGUUGGGUUGCUGCCCUCCAAUUGGUAAUUUUUAAAGAAAUUUUGCUGUUUUUGGUUAUCUUGAAUACUAUUAUAGAUAGCGAUAAACUGUAAACAGCAAUAAUGUUCAGC
rnacentral:lncRNA from 1 species